rnacentral:rRNA from 1 species
UUGGGUGGCGGACGGGUGAGUAACGCGUAAAGAACUUGCCUCACAGUUAGGGACAACAUUUGGAAACGAAUGCUAAUACCUGAUAUUAUGAUUUUAGGGCAUCCUAAGAUUAUGAAAGCUAUAUGCGCUGUGAGAGAGCUUUGCGUCCCAUUAGCUAGAUGGAGAGGUAACGGCUCACCAAGGCGAUGAUGGGUAGCCGGCCUGAGAGGGUGAACGGCCACAAGGGGACUGAGACACGGCCCUUACUCCUACGGGAGGCAGCAGUGGGGAAUAUUGGACAAUGGACCAAAAGUCUGAUCCAGCAAUUCUGUGUGCACGAUGACGUUUUUCGGAAUGUAAAGUGCUUUCAGUUGGGAAGAAAAAAAUGACGGUACCAACAGAAGAAGUGACGGCUAAAUACGUGCCAGCAGCCGCGGUAAUACGUAUGUCACAAGCGUUAUCCGGAUUUAUUGGGCGUAAAGCGCGUCUAGGUGGUUAUGUAAGUCUGAUGUGAAAAUGCAGGGCUCAACUCUGUAUUGCGUUGGAAACUGCAUGACUAGAGUACUGGAGAGGUAAGCGGAACUACAAGUGUAGAGGUGAAAUUCGUAGAUAUUUGUAGGAAUGCCGAUGGGGAAGCCAGCUUACUGGACAGAUACUGACGCUAAAGCGCGAAAGCGUGGGUAGCAAACAGGAUUAGAUAACCUGGUAGUCCACGCCGUAAACGAUGAUUACUAGGUGUUGGGGGUCGAACCUCAGCGCCCAAGCUAACGCGAUAAGUAAUCC